UACAUUCACGUGCAAAAUGACCUUUUU
rnacentral:piRNA from 1 species